GUCCCUAUCGUCUAGAGGCCUAGGACACAAGAUUCUCAUUCUUGCAACAUGGGUUCGACUCCCAUUAGGGAUACCA
rnacentral:tRNA from 1 species